rnacentral:tRNA from 1 species
GGAGGGGUGGCAGAGCGGUCGAAUGCGCCGGUCUUGAAAACCGGAGUCCGUGCAAGCGGACCGCGGGUUCGAAUCCCGCCCCCUCCG